UCUCACUCUCUCAGAUAGGACUCUGAAGAAAAAAAAAUCUUCCGCCAUUGAAACUAGAGGAAACUAGCAUUUGCAAAUAUUAUGCAUGUGGACUGCACCAAAUAUCUAAGGCUCUGAGCUUUUUGGACAAUGACUGCAAGCUAGUGAAGAAUCCAUUCGAAGAAGAUUGGGUAGUUAGGAUUAAAAACUGUAUUGAUUUUGGCUUCGAGUUACAGACAAGGUACA